GGGCCGGUAGGGGGCGGGGACCCCGAGGGAGGUGGCACCGCGCGGCGGUGGCUGCCGGUUGUCGUGGUCCAGGUUCCACCGCCCGCCGGCCGG
rnacentral:tRNA from 2 species